rnacentral:tRNA from 2 species
GCUCGGGUGGUGGAAUGGUAGACACGUACGCUUGAGGUGCGUAUGCCUAACGGUGUGGGGGUUCAAGUCCCCCCUCGAGCACCA